UGGGGAAUAUUGGACAAUGGGCGCAAGCCUGAUCCAGCCAUGCCGCGUGAGUGACGAAGGUCUUCGGAUUGUAAAGCUCUUUUUGGCGGGGACGAUAAUGACGGUACCCGCAGAAUAAGCCCCGGCUAACUUCGUGCCAGCAGCCGCGGUAAUACGAAGGGGGCUAGCGUUGUUCGGAAUCACUGGGCGUAAAGCGCACGUAGGCGGAUUUGUUAGUCGGGGGUGAAAUCCCGGGGCUCAACCUCGGAACUGCCUCUGAUACUGCAAAUCUCGAGUCCGAUAGAGGUGAGUGGAAUUCCUAGUGUAGAGGUGAAAUUCGUAGAUAUUAGGAAGAACACCAGUGGCGAAGGCGGCUCACUGGAUCGGUACUGACGCUGAGGUGCGAAAGCGUGGGGAGCAAACAGGAUUAGAUACCCACGUAGUCCCUGAGCGGGCUGGCAAGGCGCAU
rnacentral:rRNA from 1 species